CGAUGUCAACAGUGCAUUUAAAUUUUCCUGCAGAGAGGAAAUAUGCAGAUCACAAUGAAGGACAAGCUGUGAAAUGCCUAGAUUCCAGAGCAACAGACUGUGAUCCAUUCCCAACAACCCCUCCCUACCGUCUGCCACCAGUUCCCUUAAAGCAGGAAUCAGAGCUAGACUGACUCAACUAAGAAUUGUUUUGGAGAACUUGGAACUCAACAUUCCAUAAAGCAAGAAGCUUGACAUAGCAUCGAUGAGCCCAAGUCAACUAUAUGAACAAAACAAUGUCUCAGGAGGGGCAGGGUAUCACGUCAGAAGAAUCCUGAGUCCUUAGAUGACCUUGUAGAAAAGAGCCACAAACUUACUCUGGGCUACCUUCAUACCUCUGAACUAUUAUGCAGAGAGAAAUAAAUGUAUUCAAAUCACUGUUUUUUGGGUUUCUUCAUUCAUGUAGCUUAGCCUAUAACCUAAGUAA
rnacentral:lncRNA from 10 species